rnacentral:rRNA from 1 species
UACGUAGGCAGCAAGCGUUGUUCGGAAUUACUGGGCGUAAAGGGUGCGUAGGCGGCUUUUUAAGUUUGGUGUGAAAUCUCCCGGCUCAACUGGGAGGGUGCGCCGAAUACUGAGAAGCUAGAGUGCGGGAGAGGAAAGUGGAAUUCCUGGUGUAGCGGUGGAAUGCGCAGAUAUCAGGAGGAACACCGGUGGCGAAGGCGGGUCUCUGGGCCGGUACUGACGCUGAGGAGCGAAAGCGUGGGGAGCGAACGGG